rnacentral:rRNA from 1 species
GUCAUAUGCUGUCUCAAAGAUAAGCCAUGCAUGUCUCAGUACAAGCCAAAUUAAGGUGAAACCGCGAAAGGCUCAUUAAAUCAGUUAUGGUUCCUUAGAUCGUACCCACAAUUACUUGGAUAACUGUGGUAAUUCUAGAGCUAAUACAUGCAAACAGAGCUCCGACCGGAGACGGAAGGAGUGCUUUUAUUAGAUCAAAACCAAUCGGUGGCGGGUUCGCGCUCGUCAUCGUACAACUUGGUGACUCUGAAUAACUUUACGCUGAUCGCACGGUCAUCGCACCGGCGACGCAUCUUUCAAAUGUCUGCCUUAUCAACUGUCGAUGGUAGGUUCUGCGCCUACCAUGGUUGUAACGGGUAACGGGGAAUCAGGGUUCGAUUCCGGAGAGGGAGCCUGAGAAACGGCUACCACAUCCAAGGAAGGCAGCAGGCGCGCAAAUUACCCACUCCCGGCACGGGGAGGUAGUGACGAAAAAUAACGAUACGGGACUCAUCCGAGGCCCCGUAAUCGGAAUGAGUACACUCUAAACCCUUUAACGAGGAUCAAUUGGAGGGCAAGUCUGGUGCCAGCAGCCGCGGUAAUUCCAGCUCCAAUAGCGUAUAUUAAAGUUGUUGCGGUUAAAAAGCUCGUAGUCGAAUUUGUGUCUCGCGCCGCCGGUUCAUCGUCCGCGGUGUUAACUGGCGAGUCGCGAGACGUCCUGCCGGUGGGCUUAGCUCGCGAGGGCGGCCCAACUCAAUCCUGCCGCGGUGCUCUUCAUUGAGUGUCGAGGUGGGCCGGCACGUUUACUUUGAACAAAUUAGAGUGCUUAAAGCAGGCUAAAACUUCGCCUGAAUACUGUGUGCAUGGAAUAAUGGAAUAGGACCUCGGUUCUAUUUUGUUGGUUUUCGGAACCCCGAGGUAAUGAUUAAUAGGAACGGAUGGGGGCAUUCGUAUUGCGACGUUAGAGGUGAAAUUCUUGGAUCGUCGC